CUACGGGGCGCACCAGUGGGGAAUAUUGCACAAUGGGCGCAAGCCUGAUGCAGCCAUGCCGCGUGUAUGAAGAAGGCCUUCGGGUUGUAAAGUACUUUCAGCGGGGAGGAAGGGAGUAAAGUUAAUACCUUUGCUCAUUGACGUUACCCGCAGAAGAAGCAUCGGCUAACUCCGUGCCAGCAGCCGCGGUAAUACGGAGGGUGCAAGCGUUAAUCGGAAUUACUGGGCGUAAAGCGCACGCAGGCGGUUUGUUAAGUCAGAUGUGAAGUCCCCGGGCUCAACCUGGGAACUGCAUCUGAUACUGGCAAGCUUGAGUCUCGUAGAGGGGGGUAGAAUUCCAGGUGUAGCGGUGAAAUGCGUAGAGAUCUGGAGGAAUACCGGUGGCGAAGGCGGCCCCCUGGACGAAGACUGACGCUCAGGUGCGAAAGCGUGGGGAGCAAACAGGAUUAGAUACCCCAGUAGUC
rnacentral:rRNA from 1 species